AUUGAACGCUGGCGGCAUGCCUUACACAUGCAAGUCGAACGGUAACGGGCCUUCGGGUGCCGACGAGUGGCGAACGGGUGAGUAAUGCAUCGGAACGUACCUUUCAGUGGGGGAUAACGUAGCGAAAGUUACGCUAAUACCGCAUAUUCUGUGAGCAGGAAAGCAGGGGAUCGCAAGACCUUGCGCUGAUUGAGCGGCCGAUGUCAGAUUAGCUAGUUGGUGAGGUAAAGGCUCACCAAGGCGACGAUCUGUAGCGGGUCUGAGAGGAUGAUCCGCCAUACUGGAACUGAGACACGGUCCAGACUCCUACGGGAGGCAGCAGUGGGGAAUUUUGGACAAUGGGGGCAACCCUGAUCCAGCCAUGCCGCGUGAGUGAAGAAGGCCUUC
rnacentral:rRNA from 1 species